ACUACAGGCGACUCAUCAAAGAAAUGCAUACGGUUGCAAUCAAUCAAUGAAAUAUUUGCUACGUAAGCUUCUAACUUCUCCAUAACGUCCGGCCGUUCUGUCUCUCGAGGAAUUUGACUUAUUAUCUUGUAAGAGUAACCAAGAUCUUUAUUCAAAAUUCUACUAAUGGAUGACCUGCUAGAUAUUCAGCGUAUGCAAUAACGUCAUCUGUACGCGUGGUUCGAACAUCAAGUUCGCCCUGGCGAGGUGCAAUAGAACCAGUGUCUACCCAUAGAUCUAUUAUAUUUGAUAUAGUCUUAUACGGUAGAUUUAGUUGUUUCAAAACGUUUGUCAAACGCUGGUUAUUUAACCACCUUUCAAGUAUUUCAUUUCUUACUCCUAUUGGUAAA